GGGCGAGAGGGCAGGGGAAAAGCAGCAGCAGCAAAACUGGUCAGGGGCCAGCACACCGAGAUCCAAGCAUUUCACUAUCGAGCAGCGGAGAAGGACAACGAUAAAUGACAGGUAUGCAUCUUGACUAGCUCGCUGAGGGGGAUGGCUUGGUGGAUCUAAUGUUCGUUUGCUUGUAUCGCUACUAGGCCUGCUGUUGAUCGAAAGGAGCAAGCGAGCAACACCAGUGGACUACCCUUGAAAAUUGUGACCUGGCAAGUCUAGUAAGUGAUGCUUGCAUCAUAAUACAUUCACUUGAGACUACAUGAAUGCCCCCUAAUAUUUUAGGGAUGAGGCGACAGGGAAUAGCCCUUUCACUGUCUUCAUCUACUUUUGUUCUCCAGAUGACACGAUGGCCAUCUUCCUGGCGCUGCGGUCGCCGAAGCUGGAGGUGUUGGGCCUCACCACUACCUUCGGCAACGUCCACACCGCCCUCGCCACGCGCAACGCGCUCCACCUGGUGCCGCCGCCUACCUUCCUUCCUCUCUCUCCCCCACCCUGCUCGUCUGUUCCACCCACUCCGACCGCGGCUCACAUUUGCUUCUGAUGUGUGUGCUUGAGCUGGAGGCUGUUGGCAGGACUGACAUCCCUAUGGCAGAGGGAUCCCAUCCAACGAUCAAGAAAGCCACCAAGCUGAGGAUCGCAAGCUUUGUCCACGGUUCAGACGGCCUGAGGAUCGCAAGCUUCGUCCACGGUUCAGACGGCCACUGUGGAUCGAGGUGCGGCAGGUCGGGGCGCCGCCGCGGAUUGUAGGCUCGACCGAGACUACUUCGUCACCAACGUCCUCGUAUGCUUCAAUGUUAAACAUUGUCACAGGUUCUCAUAUAUGGGUGGAAGAUAAAGAUUUGUCCUGGGUUGAUGGUGAGGUAUUUCGAAUUGAUGGCCAAAACGCCCAUGUUCGCACAACCAAGGGGAAGGCGGGAUGGCGUAUUGUGGCGGCUACGAGGGACCGAUGUUCCUGUGUGGCAGUGACAACGAUACCGUGGAGCCAAGGCAAUGUCAGCAAGCUGAUUUUUCAGAUUGGAAUCUAUGGUUCUUUUUAAAGAUCGAAUAUGUUCUAGCAUCUUAAAAAGAUUUGUCAGAAUGUAAACAUUUGUUCUGAGGUCAUUUAGGCCUCAAACAGAAUUUCUUGGACUUAUUUCGUUGGAGGGAAUGGGACAUCUUGAGAUCU